CAAAACUUUUUGGACAAAAAAACCCCCGAAACAAAAAAAAAUCACAACUGGCCGAAAAUAAUAGAAACAAAUUCGCAAGGGUAAUUUUAUCAUAAAAAAUAGACAAAUGGGAAAUAAAAAAAAUUAAAAAGCUAAAAAAAAGGAAAAAGAAAGAAAAAAGACAUGAGUGAAAAAAAUAAAGGUGGUGUAUCGUUUUCAACCGUUUGAUUCCCCCACUUUCUCAAUAACCUCUCUCAAUUAACCAUUUCUUCCCUCAAACAGAGAUCAGCUUCACAUCCACUACAAUUGCACGUUUGAAUCAAAAAGAUCAGUUGACCUCCUCAGCCUAAAUCUCAUCCUUUUCUCCCAUACGCUCAAAACGAAAAGUGGUGUGGCGAGGUUUUGCCGGGCGAAGUCAGGGUUCUGGAGUGACAAAGUGAAGUUGCUGGUCGCGGCGGAGGAAGGAUUUACUCUGGUUCUUGGCAGUGGGAAGGACUUGAGGAGUUUAAGAGAGAUGAGUUAGUGAAGGUUGAUGGAGAGGGGCAGUGUGUUAUGAAAGAUCAUGGGUAUUUUGGUACGUUUAGCCUUAGCUCCAUGCUUUAAAUUCGAGUCCUGUGAUUUCAUUUGUUGGAGAAAGUUUAAAGCUUUAUAUUGCCAAUGGUUGCGUAGUUCUCUUCAAUUUGUAUGGUUGUGAUGAUACAGAAAUAAUGAGUUUACGUUCAAAUUUUCCAAGACUUUAGAGGUAACCAAAUUGACCCUUACAAUCUUUUAAGUUGCCAUUGCAUUCAGAUUAUUUUUUUGGUUUUAUCAAGCGAAAGUUAGAAUUGUUACUCUCUUUGAUUUUGUUAAUUAAUGUUGAUAAUUUUUGUGUAGAAAAGGUGGCAGUCUCUCCUCUGUCAAGGGAGGAGUUAUUUGUUGUUGGGGAUCUUAUGCGCAACCAGAUUUGAGAACCAAUAAGAUGCAUGCUUGAUCUGUAUGGAGUGGAGUGGGGUUAUCUGCGCAUGUAAUUUUAUGCAGAGUUUCAUAAGUGGGGUUCAGUACCUAAUAUAUCCUCAAAUUCCUAAUACAAGCGAUCAGACUAAUUAAUUAUUUAAUUUAUUGUUUUUUUUUUUUGAAUUUUUCAUUGCAUAAAUAAACUUGGGGUUUCUGAAUUUCGGAUGUGUUUUUUGAAACAGUGUUGCAAUUUGGCUGCACAGAGGGACAAUAAUAAUUUUUUCUUGACAUGAUUAUGAAAUGCCCAGGCGAGAAAGGCACUCAUCGACUCAUAUUCCUUAAAGGU